GAUGAACGCUAGCGGCAGGCUUAACACAUGCAAGUCGAGGGGCAGCACGGGUAGCAAUACCUGGUGGCGACCGGCAAACGGGUGCGGAACACGUACACAAUCUACCUUUGUCUGGGGCAUAGCCCGAAGAAAUUCGGAUUAACACCCCAUAAAAUAGCAGUCUGGCAUCAGAGAACUAUUAAAUCUCCGGAGGACAGAGAUGAGUGUGCGUCCCAUUAGCAGUUGGUAGGGUAACGGCCUACCAAGGCGACGAUGGGUAGCUGGUGUGAGAGCACGACCAGCCACACGGGCACUGAGACACGGGCCCGACUCCUACGGGAGGCAGCAGUGAGGAAUAUUGGUCAAUGGACGCAAGUCUGAACCAGCCAUGCCGCGUGAAGGAUGAAGGCGUUCUGCGUUGUAAACUUCUUUAUCUGGAAGAAACCUUCUUUUUCUAAGAGAGCCGACGGUACCAGAGGAAUAAGCACCGGCUAACUCCGUGCCAGCCGCCGCU
rnacentral:rRNA from 1 species